rnacentral:misc_RNA from 1 species
UUCCCCCUGUUGGGGUGUGGUCGGCCUAAAAGGAAUGGCCCCCGUGUGACGAGCACCACGACGAGAGGUGGUUGUGUCCAACUCUGCUAGACGUCACGUGCUUCGUCUCCGUGGGCUGUCUACGGAACCCUCUGAUAAUACGACUGCGACCCCA